UACGUAGGGUGCGAGCGUUGUCCGGAAUUAUUGGGCGUAAAGGGCUCGUAGGCGGUUUGUCGCGUCGGGAGUGAAAACCUUGGGCUUAACUCAGGGCUCGCUUUCGAUACGGGCAGACUAGAGGUAUGCAGGGGAGAACGGAAUUCCUGGUGUAGCGGUGAAAUGCGCAGAUAUCAGGAGGAACACCGGUGGCGAAGGCGGUUCUCUGGGCAUGAUCUGACGCUGAGGAGCGAAAGUGUGGGGAGCGAACAGG
rnacentral:rRNA from 1 species